rnacentral:tRNA from 2 species
UGGGGUGUCGCCAAGCGGUAAGGCAACGGACUCUGACUCCGUCAUCCAAGGUUCGAAUCCUUGCACCCCAGCCA